UACGAAGGUGGCGAGCGUUACUCGGAAUUACUAGGCGUAAAGGGCAGGUAGGCGGUUUGAUAAGUCUGUUGUGAAAGCUCUCGGCUUAACCGGGAGAGGUCAAUAGAUACUGUUGAACUUGAGUAUGGGAGAGGGUACUGGAAUUCCUGGUGUAGCGGUGAAAUGCGCAGAGAUCAGGAGGAACACCGAUGGCGAAAGCAGGUACCUGGACCAUUACUGACGCUCAGCUGCGAAAGCUAGGGGAGCAAACAGG
rnacentral:rRNA from 1 species